rnacentral:rRNA from 1 species
ACCUUCGGGCCUCUUGCCAUCGGAUGUGCCCAGAUGGGAUUAGCUAGUAGGUAGGGUAACGGCUCACCUAGGGCGACGAUCCCUAGCUGGUCUGAGAGGAUGACCAGCCACACUGGAACUGAGACACGGUCCAGACUCCUACGGGAGGCAGCAUG